AUACGUAGGGUGCAAGCGUUAAUCGGAAUUACUGGGCGUAAAGCGUGCGCAGGCGGUUUUGUAAGACAGUGGUGAAAUCCCCGGGCUCAACCUGGGAACUGCCAUUGUGACUGCAAGGCUGGAGUGCGGCAGAGGGGGAUGGAAUUCCGCGUGUAGCAGUGAAAUGCGGAGAUAUGCGGAAGAACACCGAUGGCGAAGGCAAUCCCCUGGGCCUGCACUGACGCUCAUGCACGAAAGCGUGGGGAGCAAACAGGAUUAGAUACCCUGGUAGUCCACGCCCUAAACGAUGUCAACUGGUUGUUGGGGAUUUAUUUUCUCAGUAACGAAGCUAACGCGUGAAGUUGACCGCCUGGGGAGUACGGCCGCAAGGUUAAAACUCAAAUGAAUUGGCGGGG
rnacentral:rRNA from 1 species